rnacentral:rRNA from 1 species
AACGAACGCUGGCGGCAUGCCUAACACAUGCAAGUCGAACGAGACCGUCGGGUCUAGGGGCGCACGGGUGCGUAACGCGGGGGAACCUGCCCGUAGGUUCGGAAUAACUCCCCGAAAGGGGUGCUAAUACAGGAUAAUGUCUUCGGACCAAAGAUUUAUCGCGUUUGGAUGGGCCCGCGUUGGAUUAGCUGGUUGGUAGGGUAAAAGCAUACCAAGGCGACGAUCCAUAGCUGGUCGGAGAGGAUGAUCAGCCACGCUGGGAAUGAGACACGGCCCAGACUCCUACGGGAGGGAGCAGUGGGGAAUAUUGGAGGAGGGGCGAAAGUCUGAUACAGCAAUGCCGCGUGAGUGAUGAAGGCCUUAGGGUUGUAAAGCUCUUUUACCCGGGAUGAUAAUGACGGUACCGGGAGAAUAAGCACCGGCUAACUCCGUG